CCCUUAGAUGUUCUGGGCCGCACGCGCGCUACACUGAUGCAUUCAACGAGUCUAAAACCUGGUCUGAUAGGGCUGGGUAAUCUUUUGAAUGUACAUCGUGAUUGGGAUAGAUGAUUGCAAUUCUUCAUCUUCAACGAGGAAUGCCUAGUAAACGCAAGUCAUCAGCUUGCAUUGAUUACGUCCCUGCCCUUUGUACACACCGCCCGUCGCUCCUACCGAUUGAAUGUUCCGAUGAAUACCAUGGACUGAGAGUAUGAAUGGGUUCGCCUAUUUCUGCUUCUCGGGAAGUGGAGUAAAUCUUAACAUUUAGAGGAAGGAGAAGUCGUAACA
rnacentral:rRNA from 1 species